GCACAAGCAGCGGAGCGUGUGGUUUAAUUCGAUGUUACACGAAGAACCUUACCAGGGUUUGACAUGCAGGUGGUAGGAAUCUGAAAGGGGACCGACCCUUCGGGGAGCCUGCACAGGUGCUGCAUGGCUGUCGUCAGCUCGUGUCGUGAGAUGUUCGGUUAAGUCCGCUAACGAGCGCAACCCUCGCCGUGUGUUACAUGUGUCACACGGGACUGCCGGUCUUAAGCCGGAGGAAGGUGGGGAUGAUGUCAAGUCAGCAUGGCCUUUAUAUCCUGGGCUACACACACGCUACAAUGGCCAACACAAUAGGUUGCUAAGCCGCGAGGUGGCGCCAAUCCAUAAAGUUGGUCUCAGUUCAGAUUGUAGGCUGCAACCCGCCUGCAUGAAGAUGGAGUUGCUAGUAACCGCAGGUCAGCUAUACUGCGGUGAAUACGUUCCCGGGGCUU
rnacentral:rRNA from 1 species